rnacentral:sRNA from 1 species
CCAUAAACUGUACAGCUUUGGUCUACCACACACAGUCAAUCAUCAUGGUACUCAGGCCUCAAAGCACCAGAUGAGCCAAAUGUGGACCAAGGUCUCCAAAACUAACCACGGAGAGGGAAAUGGAAGAGACCGAGUUGCUGAAAAUUUCCCAAAGAUCCACAAAUUUGCCAAAGUGAAGGAUCCAGGACUAUCCAGGUUAGAGUCAAUAGCCUGGGAGUCCUGCAGUUGAGCAAGAGAAAGACGUGGCCCAUGAUUUUUGCCAAAACUCCAAGGGAAGGCAAAGAAAAGGGAAAAGGCUAUCAUUCCUCAGGCAGAGUUCAACAGGAAGAGAAAGCAAUGUUCUCUGCACAUGAAGUUCCAGGCUGACAUGAGAGUCCUUCAAAAUGCUAGCCACAGGACUUUCCUGAACACAUUGGAGUUUCAUGGGUUUGCCAUAUCAUAAAGCUAAUUAGGCCCAGGCAGAAAGAAGCUCAACAUUCCAAAACCCAGCUAGUUUCUUUAAGAGGUACUGAAAAUUGAACACAAUCCCCUGCUUGUGAGGACUCCUAAGUGAACCCUACAGCUGUCAUUUAUUUUGUAGCAACACCACCACCACCACUACCACAACCAGCACCGCCACCAACAACGACAACAAGAAAAGUAAUAUAAAAAGCCUGUAAGAAGUCUCUCUGGUCGUCUCAUAAUUCUUGGACACUGCUGAUCUGCAACCAAUGUGCACCAUUAUCUAAGGCCAACUUUAAGUUCUUCAAGUUGGAUUUUGCUUCAUGUACACCUGGAAGAGAAGGUGUUUACCAUGGCAGGAGGCACAUUUCCCUGAGACAGGCUGACUGAGUUAAAGACCAGAGACUCUAGUGCUAGACUUGUAAUUCUGAGUAAAAAUUCUGGUUCAGAAUGCACAAGAUACAAUUCACAGACCACAUGAAGCUCAACAAGAAGGAAGACCAAAAUGUGGAUGCU